GACGUAGGGCGCGAGCGUUGUCCGGAUUUAUUGGGCGUAAAGAGCUCGUAGGCGGCUUGUCGCGUCGUCCGUGAAAACCUGCAGCUCAACUGCAGGCUUGCGGUCGAUACGGGCAGGCUGGAGUUCGGUAGGGGAGACUGGAAUUCCUGGUGUAGCGGUGAAAUGCGCAGAUAUCAGGAGGAACACCGGUGGCGAAGGCGGGUCUCUGGGCCGAUAUUGACGCUGAGGAGCAGAAAGCGUGGGGAGCGAACAGG
rnacentral:rRNA from 1 species